CAUAAAUCACGCUCCAGGGCUCAAUAUUCCCUUGCGAAACAUGAAGGUGCUCCUAACAACGGGUUAUCUUAUCCACAUUUAAGAAGUGGAGUAUCAACAUCAGGGGCAACAGAGGACGUGACACAUGAAUUGGAGGGCAGGCUAAAACUUAUUUUAUGUAUUUUACUGUGUUUGGAAGAGGCUUUGUUUGGUUGUAUAAUUUCAAGAUUUGGAGCUUAGGGCACCAGAUGGGUUGAG